UUCAGGUCUCUAGAAAUCUAAAGAGCAAAAAAACCUAUUCAGGGAUACAGACGUUGCUUAGUGGUAGAGCACAUUCCUGCAUGUGUGCCAGGCCUGGUUCCAUCCUCAGGACAUGCAGUGAUUCCAACAGGCUUUCAGCCCACUCUCUCUAUAUACAGCUGCCAGAGAUGGCUGUACCCCCACUGCCACCCUGCUGCCUCCACUGGUGGAGAAAAAAAUAAUCAAAACUCUUCUCCCUGGCAUUUGUUUUGUUUUAAGAGUAGGACAGCUUAUUGGAGAAUAGGAAUAGCUCCUGAGAUACCAAUGGAUUACUGAAGAGCUCACUUCUCAGAGAAAGUUUUACAGACCUAACUCACAAGGUGGGUACAAUGUGAGUCAAAACUAUAAUCAACUAACAUGUAUAGCCACUUAGCUAAUUUGAUCCAGUAGUAACAGGACAGGUAGAUGACUUCAUUAACCUUGGGAUAAUCUGUAGUCUUAGUUGUUGUUGUUGUUGUUGUUGUUGUUUUGGGGGGCGCCACGCUGGCCUAGAUUUUGCAUUGGUCCUGCCUCAGCAUGUCAAGUGCUGGAAUUUCAGGUGUGUGCCACCACACCUGGUGGACAUCAUAGUUUUGUUUUUAGUUUUAGCCUUAUUAGUCUUAGUGAGUGGGAGUGGAUGGCCCACCCUAGUAAGAUAAUGGUUCAUUUAUAUGAGAAAUCUCAAAAGGGCGGUACCAAUAAUCUCAAGCUUUUUUAGGGAAGUUUGUAAAUCUGUCCAUUGUGAUUUUAAUCUUCAGGUGUGCCUCCAGCCAGUUGUUAAUGUGUUCUCUUCUUCUGCCUGACUCCAGUGAGGGCCUAGCCCUGUCCCAUUGCCCACAAUACCUAACGCAGCUGUCUGUAAUAGCCCAAAGAGCUAUCCUAACUGUAGUUAGGGGAGAAGGGCUGUAGUUUCCAUCUAGCUGUUGUCAAGGGCCUUCCCCAGAGAGCUAAUCUAAUGGGCCAUGGCUAGGAGUCAUGUUGCAGUUAAGCAGUUACGAAUUCCUUUCACAAGGUCGAUCGAGUAGAUCUCUGUAAAAGCAGUCUGGUACAUUUGUCACUGGUUUUAUCUGUAUAAUUACUUGGAGCUUUUGCAGCCUCUGGGCAAGAAUAAAUGAAUUUUCUGAGAAAUUAGAGCAUGUAUAAUCAAAACACAAGCACUAGAAUGGAAAGGUGGUUGGGGAGAGUCACAUCUCCCUGAAUUUGGAGGCUUUCAAAAUCAUGUCACAGACUCCGUUUUUUAAUCUCAUGUCCUGGAGAUCCGUCCCUGCCGAGACCCUUCCUGGACUAUCCCUGGAACACUGCUGAGCAGCAGUGAGCUCCGGAGCGAGCACAGUGCCCGGGCCACCUCGGGCUGUACCCUUCCUCCAGGUACUUUUGCUCUUUGCAGUUCCUGGCACUCAGGCUCAAUACAGAUGUGAAGCCCCAGUGGGCACCUCACCAGGCACCACGUAGACAAGGCGUCGCACUGGCCAGUUCGAAACCUGCUUUCAGCUGUGACUGGGGCCGAGCUCAAAGCUGCUCACAACUGGAUCCUGUUCAUACUAUCAGCUCAGCUGCUGUAUUCCCAGUCUGAAGAAGGGAUUGAAAGUGUUUUUAUUCACGUGAUACUUUUUAUAAAACAUAAAUUAUUAAAUAUUUAGAAUCACAUGAAAACAAGCUCAUCUUAUGCUUAUGUAAACACACGGAUGCACUGGCUGCAGCAGAGCUUAGACUCAGCUGGUAAAGGGGCUGAGUGGUAGAGCACCUUUUUCACUUUUCUGUUUCAGUUUUCUUUUCUUUAAUUUUUAAUCUAUGCUUGCAGUGUAUAAUGAUUACACUGAUCAUGAGGAUUGGUGCAUGUACAGAACACUUUUUUUAAUUACUGUUUUUUUUUUUCUUUUUGUACCGGGAAUCAAACUCAGGGCUUUGCACUAUUAAUACUAUUCAACCAACCCGCUUUCCUCUUCUUCCCUCUCUCCCUGUCACCCUCCCCCCAUUGCCUAGUCCAUUUCCUUUUGCAAAAGAUCUAUCUCCCUGCUUCUUAUUUUUUAUUUUGCUCUUCAUUUAAAGUUUGGGUUUCUCAUAUAAGAGAAGCCAUGUGAUAUUUUAGCUUGUGUGUCUGAUUAAUUUCCUUAGCAUUAUGUUCUCAAAGUACAUGUUUUCCUAUAGAUGACUCAAGUGUACCCUCUUUAUGACAGAGUAGUACUCUACUUUGUAUAAAUACCACAUCUCCUUUACCCUUCCCAACCUCAUCAAGGUUCAGUGAAGUUGAUAUUUGUAAUCCCAUAGGAAAGUGAUUGGAAUUUCAAUCUACCACUCCCAGUACAGUUUAUGGUGAGAACAAAGAUGCUAAGGCAUAUUUGUAGUUAUGGGGAGCUAAAGGCAUCCUAAGUCCAGCUAGAACUGCCUGGACCAGGGACGAACCUGGGUUUUAUUAAUUCAUAAAGAGUGAAAUAGCUUUGGAAUGAGCGCCUAUGAGAAAGCCUGGAAGCACAUGAAUCGGCGAGCUGGGCUAAGCAGGAGGCCUGAAAUCACCUCUGCAAUCUGCAGAGGGAAGGAUAUGGAAAAAGAGUCAUCUGCAUAUCACAGGUUGGGGCAAUAUCUAGUGUUCUGAGGUCAGCGCUUCAGUUCUGAGAUGAACCCAUGCCCUAAGAAAACAUAGCUUCUUUUCUGGAGGCUGCUUCUCAGGGACACCAUGGUGUCACUCAGCCUAGCUCACACAUGUGACUUGAGAGCUGUAGCGGGGGCAUCACCAACCCAUUGCAUUGCUUCAAAGACAUCAGCACCUGGGCCAGACCAAUUUGCACUGCUGAAAGCCAGCUGAGGGGAUAAGGAAAUGUAGGCACUAGCUCUGUGCCCAUCUAUCUGUGGAGUAGGGCCAAGCGCACUUCUUCAAGGAGAGUCACCAGGUGGUCCUUCACGUAUUUGUCUUUUGAUGGACAUACAGACUGCUUCCAAAAUUUAGCUAUUAUGGCUAUACCAUUAUACAAACUAUUAUAUAAACUUCAGUAUGUAUAUUUCACUGUAAUGUUCUAAAGUCUUUCAGGUAGAUACCUAGAAGGGGAACAGAAUUUCGAGUUUUAGUGUUUUGGGGAAUCUCCAUACUGAUUUCCAUAGUAGUUGUACUAGUUUACUUUCCAAGAAUUCAGUAUUUACCUAGCAUGCAUGAGGACCUGAUUUCUACUUUAAAAAAAUAAGAAAAAGAAAAAAAAGCAUUAGAAUUUCUUAUUCUUAGGAAUCCAUGGAAAAGAGCCAGGUGUGGUGGCACGCAUCUGUAAUCCAGGGACUCGGAAGGCUGGGACAGUAGGAUUGCUGCGAGUUCCACAUCAGCCUGGUCGACAAAGUCAACUGGACACUCUUCAUCAGUGUGCGCCACCCCCGGUGCCAGCUCCAGCCCCUUUCCUAGUUUCUCUUGCUGUCCUUUGUUAAGGACCAGCUUGAUCUUUGUCCAUUUUUCUUUCUUUCUUUCUUUUUUUUUUUUUUUUUUGUCUCCUUUUUUUUAUCGGUACCAGGGAUCGAACUCACAACUGCCGGGUUGCAAGGCAGGCGCUUAUAUGCCACUGAGCUAAAUCCCCAGCCCCAAUUUGUCCACUUUUCAAACUAGAGUUCCUUACCAUUUUCUCUUGCUUUGUUUUGUUUUGUUUCGGUUUCUUUGAAACAGAAUCUCGCUCAAUAGUUCAGCCUGGCCUUAAACUCACUACAUUGCCCAGGUUGGCCUUGAACCUGUGGUAAUCCUCCUGCCUCAGUCUCCUGAGUUCUGGGAUUACAGGCAUGUGCUACCAUGCCCAGUUUGUCAUUUUCUCUUGCUUUCCAACUGAAGUAUUUUUCCUAAAUUCUAUUAUUAUUAUUAUUAUUAUUUUUGGUACCAGGGGUUGAGCUCAUGACCUUGUGUUUGCCAGGCAGGUGCUUAUGUCACUGAGCUAAAUCCUUGGUCCUCCUGCAAAUUCUUGCUUCCGUUUUAAUUUCCAUUAUCAAAGUAAGGACCAGUGCUGGCUGCUGACAGUGUCAUCGGUCUCUUUCUUGGAAGUCAGCCACAUAAUCACUCUCCACCCUCACUGUGUAGGGCUAGCUUCCUCGUGCCAGUCCUAAUGUAUGUGCAAAGGACACGCCAGAUUAGUUUUUCUGCCCAAGAAAGUUGUGUCAUCCUUUCCUUGGGCUCUGAUUGCAAGAACAGAUGAGCUCAAGCAGAUCCUGUUGACCAUUCGGUGCCAAGCUGGGAUAACACAAUGGAAAAGAGUUUCCCAGUAGUGCAUUAAAGUGAGGAUAGCCGGGUGUGGUGGCACAUACCUGUAAUUCCAGCACCUGCAGGCUGAGGCAGGAGGAUCACAGUGAGUCUGAGGCCAGCCAGGGCUACAUAAGUGAGUUCAAGACCAGCUUGAACUGCAUAAUGAGCUUAAAAAAAAAAUUAAAUAAUUAAGGUGAAGAGAGAGGAUUUCAGGGCUGUGCAACUAGAAAGAACCUUGUGUUCAACCUCAGGAUUUAAAUCCAAAACUCAAAUUUGAGCUCUUGCCUGUUAGAUGUCAAUCAAAGCUUAGUUCAGCUUGAGUGGCCAGACACAAGGCCUCAGUGUCCUCUGUGGAUUUAUGGUUAUCUGCCCUCUGUAUCACACUCUGGGAGACGUGCCACAGCGGCAUGGAAGCAGGUGAGACUGCAGAGAGUGAAAAUCAGCCUCGCAGACUCUCAGUUAAGAUCCUCUUGAUGGACUGUUAAAUCCAUUUAAUUUCCUUUGGUGCUGAGCAUUGAACCCAGGGCCUCACACAUGCUAAGCAUGCACUCUAGCUCCAAGCCACACCCUAUUUAAAAAAUAGAAUAAAAUUACUCUGACCUUUUUAGUAGAAAUUUCAGACUGUCACCUAGAGGUAGGGUAAGCAAUGUUUCAUGAAACAUUUUAAAAUAGACACUAUGUAGUCAUUUGCAAUAUCAAAUGUAUUUCUUAUCAUAGUCACAGUAAAAAAAAAGAAAGAUGGGGAAAAAAGGGGUAAAAGUCGGGGGGCAGAGAAAUGCCUUAUGUCUAUAACCCUCUCCAAUUAAUAUUAGGUCUCAGCUGUCAGGGAAUGUCAUGGGAGCUAUUUAAAACUUGCCACCUAGAAACCUGAAGCCAAAACCAAAAGCUGCAAAGGAAAGGGUUAGAAGGUCCCUAGUUCCCUAGCUCCAAGUGCCAGGGAGGCCGAGGCAGGAGAACUACCACAAGUCUGAGGCCAGUCUAGGCUAUAUAAUGAGACCUUGUAUCAAAGAACAAUGAAGAAAUUUGAUAUUGUAAAUAUUUCUAAAUUUUCUGUGCUAAAAGCAUAAAACAGAAUUGAAAGCUUAAAAAGAAAGAUGUUUCAAAAUAUACUGAGUUACAUCUUGUGUUUUGUUUUGUUUGUCUUUUUGAGACAGGGUGUCACUGUGUGGGUCAGGCUGGCCAUGGGCUCACUUUGUAGACCAGGCUGGUCUUGAAUUUGCAAGGAUCCUCCUACCUCAGCAUCAACCCCCCACCACCACCACCACCACACCAAAUGCUAGGAUUACAGGAGUGCACCACCACGCCCAGCUCUUUUUCUUUGCUUUUUUUUUUUGAAUUUUUUUAAAUUUUGAGGCAACCCUGGUUGAUGCGUUUUUGAAAUUUUGUUGUAUUCUUUCUUUUCUCUUCCUCCUCCUUCCUUUUCUUCUCUUUCCUCUUUUCUUUCUUUUUAUCCUUGAAAUAAAAUGGAUUUGGAAAAAAAAAA